rnacentral:misc_RNA from 1 species
UCUCCGUUGGUGAACCAGCGGAGGGAUCAUUACAGAGUUAUAAAACUCCCAAACCCAUGUGAACUUACCUAUGUUGCCUCGGCGGAGCCUACCCGGUACCUACCCUGUAACGCUCCGCCGGUGGACCUUUAAACUCUUGUUGUUACAGUGUCAUUCUGAAUUUAAAAACUUAAUCAGUUAAAACUUUCAACAACGGAUCUCUUGGUUCUGGCAUCGAUGAAGAACGCAGC